GCGGGUGCUAUACAUGCAGUCGAGCGGACAGAUGGGAGCUUGCUCCCUGAUGUUAGCGGCGGACGGGUGAGUAACACGUGGGUAACCUGCCUGUAAGACUGGGAUAACUCCGGGAAACCGGGGCUAAUACCGGAUGGUUGUUUGAACCGCAUGGUUCAAACAUAAAAGGUGGCUUCGGCUACCACUUACAGAUGGACCCGCGGCGCAUUAGCUAGUUGGUGAGGUAACGGCUCACCAAGGCAACGAUGCGUAGCCGACCUGAGAGGGUGAUCGGCCACACUGGGACUGAGACACGGCCCAGACUCCUACGGGAGGCAGCAGUAGGGAAUCUUCCGCAAUGGACGAAAGUCUGACGGAGCAACGCCGCGUGAGUGAUGAAGGUUUUCGGAUCGUAAAGCUCUGUUGUUAGGGAAGAACAAGUACCGUUCGAAUAGGGCGGUACCUUGACGGUACCUAACCAGAAAGCCACGGCUAACUACGUGCCAGCAGCCGCGGUAAUACGUAGGUGGCAAGCGUUGUCCGGAAUUAUUGGGCGUAAAGGGCUCGCAGGCGGUUUCUUAAGUCUGAUGUGAAAGCCCCCGGCUCAACCGGGGAGGGUCAUUGGAAACUGGGGAACUUGAGUGCAGAAGAGGAGAGUGGAAUUCCACGUGUAGCGGUGAAAUGCGUAGAGAUGUGGAGGAACACCAGUGGCGAAGGCGACUCUCUGGUCUGUAACUGACGCUGAGGAGCGAAAGCGUGGGGAGCGAACAGGAUUAGAUACCCUGGUAGUCCACGCCGUAAACGAUGAGUGCUAAGUGUUAGGGGGUUUCCGCCCCUUAGUGCUGCAGCUAACGCAUUAAGCACUCCGCCUGGGGAGUACGGUCGCAAGACUGAA
rnacentral:rRNA from 1 species